UACGGAGGGGCUAGCGUUGUUCGGAAUCAUUGGGCGUAAAGGGCGCGUAGGCGGCCGAUCAAGUCGGAGGUGAAAUCCCUCGGCUCAACUGAGGAAUUGCCUUCGAUACUGUUCGGCUUGAGUCCUGGAGAGGGUAGCGGAAUUCCCGGUGUAGCGGUGAAAUGACGUAGAGACCAGGAAGAACACCAGUGGCGAAGGCGGCUACCUGGACAGGUACUGACGCUGAAG
rnacentral:rRNA from 1 species